rnacentral:rRNA from 1 species
CCGUAGCCCAAGAGAUCGGGAUAACACCUGGAAACAGAUGCUAAUACCGGAUAACAANAGAUGAUGCCUAUCAACUGUUUAAAAGAUGGUUCUGCUAUCACUCUUGGAUGGACCUGCGGUGCAUUAGCUAGUUGGUAGGGUAACGGCCUACCAAGGCGAUGAUGCAUAGCCGAGUUGAGAGACUGAUCGGCCACAUUGGGACUGAGACACGGCCCAAACUCCUACGGGAGGCAGCAGUC